rnacentral:rRNA from 1 species
UGGGGAAUCUUGGACAAUGGGGGCAACCCUGAUCCAGCCAUGCCGCGUGAGUGAUGAAGGCCUUAGGGUCGUAAAGCUCUUUCGCCUGUGAAGAUAAUGACGGUAGCAGGUAAAGAAACCCCGGCUAACUCCGUGCCAGCAGCCGCGGUAAUACGGAGGGGACUAGCGUUGUUCGGAAUUACUGGGCGUAAAGAGUUCGUAGGCGGACUAGCAAGUUAGAGGUGAAAUCCCAGGGCUCAACCUUGGAACUGCCUCCAAAACUAUUGGUCUAGAGUUCGAGAGAGGUGAGUGGAAUUCCAAGUGUAGAGGUGAAAUUCGUAGAUAUUUGGAGGAACACCAGUGGCGAAGGCGGCUCACUGGCUCGAUACUGACGCUGAGGUGCGAAAGUGUGGGGAGCAAACAGGAUUAGAUACCCUGGUAGUCCACACCGUAAACGAUGAAUGCCAGUCGUCGGGUAGCAUGCUAUUCGGUGACACACCUAACGGAUUAAGCAUUCCGCCUGGGGAGUACGGUCGC